rnacentral:rRNA from 1 species
UACGUAGGGACCGAGCGUUGUCCGGAAUCAUUGGGCGUAAAGAGCGUGUAGGCGGCCAGAUAAGUCCGCUGUGAAAUCUCGAGGCUCAACUUCGAGCUGUCGGUGGAAACUAUCUGGCUAGAGUCCGGAAGAGGAGAAUGGAAUUCCUGGUGUAGCGGUGAAAUGCGCAGAUAUCAGGAAGAACACCCGUGGCGAAGGCGGUUCUCUGGGACGGUACUGACGCUGAGACGCGAAAGCGUGGGGAGCAAACAGG